rfam:Spiroplasma mirum ATCC 29335 strain SMCA, complete genome.
UAGGGAAUUGUGUUAAAAGCACAAGCUGUACCAGCAACUGUAGAACUGACGAAAGCUGUAAUAUGUAAUAACCACUGAGAAAAUUUCUUGAUAAGGGCAGUAAGUAAGAUGAAGUAAAGCCAGUAGACCU